UCCUACGGGAGGCAGCAGUGGGGAAUAUUGCACAAUGGGGGGAACCCUGAUGCAGCGACGCCGCGUGGGUGAAGGAGUAUUUCGGUAUGUAACUCCCUAUCCGCCGGUAAGAACAAUGACGGUACCUGACUAAGAAGCACCGGCUAAAUACGUGCCAGCAGCCGCGGUAAUACGUCUGGUGCCAGCGUUAUCCGGCUUUACUGGGUGUAACGGGAGCGCCGGCGGCGCGUUCAGCCUGGUGUGAAAGCCCGCGGCCCAACCGC
rnacentral:rRNA from 1 species